rnacentral:lncRNA from 1 species
CAAAAACCCCGCAAUUCUAUCAAUAAUUCAACAGGUACUUUUUCUUUUCUUUUCUUUUCUUUCCCCAUGGAUAUAAUUUUCUGGUUUCCUCGAUAAGAAGCUUGCUCAAAUUCAUUAAUUUUUGCUUUAAAUAUAAAUUCUGGUUGACUUGUCUUUUUCUUGGUGGAACAAUAAGAUCUGUUUCAGCACUUGAAUUUUAAUUGCGUUUAUUACAAAGAUUACGAGAUUUGGUUUUUUUUUUUUUUGUUAUCAUUCUUUUGACUUUCUAAUUUCAAGUUUCGGUUAAUGAUUUUUUAGAUAUCUUGUUCUGUAAGUUGAUUGUUAUUGGGUUUUAUGAAAUGGGUUGUCUAUCUGCUUGCAAGCAAUUAGAAGCUCAGAGCUGGGAUUCGGUGCUGAGUUACUAUUGCUUAUGUGCACUCGCCGUUGAUAUUUGAAUUUUGAAUGAAGUCAUUAAUUGGAUGAUCACAUCUUUGCUUUGUUGAGGGUUUCAAAACCUGGGUGUUGUAAAAUUUUGAGUGAACUUGUUGGAUUUAUUAAUCAAUUUUGAUUUCUGGUUGUUGGGAGCAUCUUUGGCAAAGUUUAAAUAAUAAUUUAAGCUUGACAAACAUAUUUUUUAUCCACAUGUUCCGUAGGAUCAUUGGCUAACUACUCACUUAUUACCCACACAUUCCAUAGGAAUCAUAUUUUUUAAGCACUUAAAAUCAAUACCAAACAAUCACAGACAAAGAUGUAUGUUUUACUUUUAUGAUACUCAGCUGUAGUACUACAGCGCUAUAUGAGCAAAUUUGUGCUUGGUGGUGGUAUAUCCUGAAUAAAUUGUUAAAUCCCUUGGUUGUAGCACUAAGUAACUUAGGGGAUUUACUGUUUUCGCAUUAAUUUCAACUCCUAAAGUUAAAGUGGUCGUAAUUAUAGGAUGCCUGGAGAACCUCGGAGUUCAGGCAUUAAUGAGACCGGUAAACAGUUCAAAUUACCGUCAUAAACCGACCAAUUGCAUUAUUUGAUAGCACAACCAUGUUAACUUAAAAGAUGAAACUGCAAUGUAGGAAAUCAUAAAUAUUACUGAAUGUAUUACUACGAUGCUGGCAUUAAAAAUAAAAUAAUAUAAAAUCGAUAUAAAUAGGGAAUUAAAUGUAAACAAGGUUAGAUAUAUUAAGUGUAAGUUGAUUUUAGUACAACUCAAUAACCUCUAGACGUUAUAUUCUUGGAUGAAAAAGACAAAGAAGAAGAUAAAGGAUAUUGAAAAAUACACUUCAGACGAUACUCAUUGAGCAAGAGGUGAGUGUAUUUGAUAGUUUUAGAGAAAGAUCCCAACUAAUAUUUGUUAUCAAGUUUCUUAAACUGAAGAGUGAAGAAUAGAGAAAGAUAGAAUUCCAGCUACAAAUAAUUCUUUGUUGUCAAGGUUAAAAGACAUUAUAAAGAAUAAGAAUGAAGAUACUAUAGUUAGAAUUGAAGGAUGAUUGAUGAGAUUAAGGGAGAAAAUGAAUAACGAGCCUCAGCUAUAACAAAGUAGAGGCAAAAAGGAGUGUGAGGAGGGAAGAUAAUAGUUGUAGAAUGAUUAGAAUGAGUAGCAUUAGUCACUUUGGUUUAGACCAAAAACAAGUCCCUAAAUAAGAUUGGAGUCGAAGUAUUUAUUGAGGAGUCUUAAGACACUAAGCCUGAAUUUUAAACUUUUCAUGCCAGCAUCCUAUAUGACCAAAACAAAGAGUGCCGAAUAACAAAUUAACCCUUAAAACCCUGAAAUGUUUUUAUUGUAACUAUAUAAAAUACACAACCGAACUAGAAAUAAUAAAAUGAAAAAUACGAGCAAUACAUUGAAUUUUGACAUCAAGCACAUCAAUUCCUCCGGUGUUCAAACUCAAGUUCGUUAAGGAAACCUCAGAGAUAUUUUGGAACAAAUAUUCAUGGUGCCUGCAGACUGCCUUGUAAUUUCAUCUACAGAAUUUUCAGUCUAAUUGACUGAGCUUACCGCUGGACUUUAUAUCUUUGUUGUAUGACUUUGUGAAGAUUAUUUAAUGUCAAUCCUCAGCAUAUUCACAUUAUUCCUCAGGAGGUCUAUUUCUAUUUGCCAAUGUAAUGUCAGCAGGUUCUGAUAGGCUGGUUUGAUUGGAAAACUGGGAACUGGUCCUUUUAUACAUUAAAAACUAUUUGGUUAGAAAGAGUUAUCCAACCUGGCCAACCGCUAGUUAACUGUGGCCCAGUCAAGGUUUUACCAGUUCAGACAUUUGGAUUUUAUUUCUUAUUUUCUAAAUAAAAAAUAAACAGUUAGGCUCAAAAAACUCACCAACCCUG